rnacentral:rRNA from 1 species
AGCAGCCGCGGUAAUUCCAGCUCCAAUAGCGUAUAUUAAAGUUGUUGCAGUUAAAAAGCUCGUAGUUGAAUUUCGGGAUCAAUACGUUGGUCGUGCUUUCGGGUACGUACUGGCGUCAUUGGUUUCUCUCUUCUGACGAACCAUGAUGUCAUUAGUUUGGUGUUAUGGGGAGUUAGGACUGUUACUUUGAAAAAAUUAGAGUGUUUAAAGCAGGCUCACGCUUGAAUACAUUAGCAUGGAAUAAUGAAAUAGGACGUUUGAUUCUAUUUUGUUGGUUUCUAGGAUUGACGUAAUGAUUAAUAGGGAUAGUUGGGGGGCAUUAGUAUUCAAUUGUCAGAGGUGAAAUUCUUGGAUUUAUUGAAGACUAACUACUGCGAAAGCAUUUGCCAAGGAUGUUUUUCAUUAAUCAAGAACGAAAGUUAGGGGAUCGAAGACGAUCAGAUACCGUCGUAGUCUUAACCAUAAACUAUGCCGACUAGGGAUCGGAUGAUGUUAAUUUUUUAAUGACUCAUUCGGCGCC